GUCGGGUGUGGUAGCACACGCCUUUAAUCCCAGCAUUUGGGAGGCAGAGGCAGGCGGAUUUCUGAGUUCGAGGCCAGCCUGGUCUACAAAGUGAGUUCCAGGACAGCCAGGGCUAUAUAGAGAAGCCCUGUCUCAAAACAAAACAAAACAAGACAAAAAACUUAUUUUUUGAGACAGGAUCUCGUCUUAGCUCUGGCUGUCUUGGAAUUCACUUUGUAGACCAGGCUGGCCCUGAACUCAUAAUGCUUUGCCUGUCC
rnacentral:lncRNA from 1 species